rnacentral:lncRNA from 1 species
GCUCCACCCAGUUCGAGCUUCCUGGCUGCUUUGUUUACCUAAGCAAGCCUGGGCAAUGGUGGGCGCCCCUCCCCCAGCCUGGCUGCUGCCUUGCAGUUUGAUCUCAGACUGCUGUGCUAGCAAUCAGCGAGACUCCGUGGGGUAGGACCCUCAGAGCCAGGUGCGGGGUAUAAUCUCGUGGUGCGCCGUUUUUUAAGCCCGUCGGAAAAGCGCAGUAUUCGGGUGGGAGUGACCCGAUUUUCCAGGUGCUGUCCGUCACCCCUUUCUUUGAUUAGGAAAGGAACUCCCUGACCCCUUGCGCUUCCCGAGUGAGGCAAUGCCUCGCCCUGCUUCGGCUCGCGCACGGUGCGCGCACCCACUGACCUGCGCCCACUGUCUGGCACUCCCUAGUGAGAUGAACCCGGUACCUCAGAUGGAAAUGCAGAAAUCACCCGUCUUCUGCGUCGCUCAGGCUGGGAGCUGUAGACUGGAGCUGUUCCUUUUCGGCCAUCUUGGCGCCUCCCUCAGGUCUCACAGUUUGGAGGAUAGAAUGGGAAAAUGCUGAUUGCAAGUUAUUUCCGACAUCCUUGAACUUACCUCCCACAUGUGAAUCACAGCUUCUACUGCAUGCCCACUCCUUUUGCCUAAAUAUGCAGUUAUCAUCAUACAUCCAGAAUUGCCCUCUGGUCAGACUUUAAGAAAAUGGCAUCUUCUACUUCCUGUUCCUUGGGAUGCUUACUCUUGGAGCACAGCCACCAAGCUGUGAGAAGUGCAAUCCAUACGGAGAGGCUACGUAUGGGGGUAUGGCCAACAGCCCACUGGCUGCAAGCAUCAAUUGCCAGACUUGUAAUUGAGAAGGCCUGUCAGAUGAUUCGAGUCCCUUCCAGCCACCAUCAGACUCUGAAUGCAUGAGAGGACCUGAGAGAGAACUGCCAAGCUGAGCCAAAUUAACCCCAGAAACAUAAGGUAUAAUAAUAAA